GAUGAACGCUGGCGGCGUGCCUAAUACAUGCAAGUCGAGCGAACGGACGAGAAGCUUGCUUCUCUGAUGUUAGCGGCGGACGGGUGAGUAACACGUGGAUAACCUACCUAUAAGACUGGGAUAACUUCGGGAAACCGUAGCUAAUACCGGAUAAUAUUUUGAACCGCAUGGUUCAAAAGUGAAAGACGAUCUUGCUGUCACUUAUAGAUGGAUCCGCGCUGCAUUAGCUAGUUGGUAAGGUAACGGCUUACCAAGGCAACGAUGCAUAGCCGACCUGAGAGAGUGAUCGGCCACACUGGAACUGAGACACGGUCCAGACUCCUACGGGAGGCAGCAGUAGGGAAUCUUCCGCAAUGGGCGAAAGCCUGACGGAGCAACACCGCGUGAGUGAUGAAGGUCUUCGGAUCGUAAAACUCUGUUAUUAGGGAAGAACAUAUGUGUAAGUAACUGUGCACAUCUUGACGGUACCUAAUCAGAAAGCCACGGCUAACUACGUG
rnacentral:rRNA from 1 species